UUCCAUGUGUAGUGGGUUAAAUAGUGU
rnacentral:piRNA from 1 species